rnacentral:lncRNA from 1 species
AAGUCAUGAAGGAAAUAAUGUGCAGUGUACACUAUGUGUGCAAACAGCAACAAAGUAGGCAUUGGGCAACGGAAGCCAAUGUGCCUGAAAUUCCUAGAGCCCCAGGGUUUAGCAGGGUAAAUACUGUCAUGCUUGUGUUUACCCUGAGCUGCAAACAGAUCAGAACAAAGUGUAAGGUACAAGAAUUCUCAACACAAUUAUGUGUUUCCCAAUAUGGGUUGGUAAUCUGUGGUGUUAUUUUACUUUCUAACAAAGAAUUCAUCUUGCUUGUCCUCUGGGAACACGGUAUCUUCCUAGGGAAAAAGUCUGCUCUCAGAGAGAAGAGUACUGGUGUUGUAAUGGAGCGGACAAUAUUUAAGCACCUGACCUGGCGAUCUAGAUACAGCCUGUUUCUUCUAUUUGCAAAGCUGAAAGCUCAAGAUAAAACUACCACUGAAUUUCUCAAACCGGUCCUUGUCCCUUGGGCCUCUGUGCCGCACUCCGGAGAUUAUCAGGGCAAGAUAUUCUCCAUGUGAGUAACAUGAAAUGCAGGGGAGUAAGCUAAGCACUUGAGGAAUUGUGCAGAGUCAAGUGUGGCUCCAAAGGACAGUCCUUAGGGGAGAGGGGCGAACAGCGUAUAGGGACACAGGACAGAGAUUUGGGUGCAACAGCAAGUAGAAAGUGGUCACGCAGAGCCAUAGAGGCCAGAUGAGGACUAUUGAGGCACAUUAAAUAGAAGAAUAACAUGAUCAGGAGAGAUUUGCUACUGGCAAAAUGGAAUGGCAGAGAGUAUAACUGGUAGCCAGGAGGCUAUUAAAGUAAUUGAGAUAAUAGUAGCGAAAAUGAGAAGCCUGGCCCUCUAACAUCAUAGCCGAGGAGAAGAGGGAGAAAAUUGUAAGAAAUAAAAUGAAUAGGACCUGGCAUGUCUCUAAACACGAGACAAUGGAAGAGGGAGAUGUAAAACUCGAUAUUCGCAUUUCUACUUUGGCAGUUUGAAUGGAUGGCUGUGGCCGUGCCAUUUGUUAAUUAUGCUUGGUGUUGAGAGUACAGGAUCUCAUUAAUUUAGCUUGGAGAAAUUCAGCAAGAAAUAUUUAGGAGGAAGGUGGUUAUUGAGGAUAUGAGGUAAAAAGAAAGAUCUGAACCAGAGAUUAUUUGGAAGUUAUUAAUAUAUGGAUUAUAAUUUAAUUUAGCAUGAAGAAAUAUUUAAUAAUCUUAGAAAUGUCCCUUUUAAUGAAAAUGUAGGUAAAGUAUAGGUGGCGUGGAUGGCAUCUUGCCUGGCAAAUUCUACUUUACUUGAAAAAUGUAGGUACAUGGGCCGGGGAUUUAGCUCAGUGGUUCCGGUGCCUGCCUCACAAGAGCAAGAUCCUGAGUUCAAUCCCCGGUACCAAAAAAAAAAAGGUGGCACAUACUUCCAAUUCCUGCACUCAGGAGGCUAAGGCCAAUCCCUGGUACCGCAAAAAAAAAAAAAAGAAAAAUGUAGGUACGUACAUAGAUGCAGAGAGUGAAGCAAAAGUGGUUUGAGGAGGGGAGAAAAGGUCUUACACAGUCAGUUAGAGACUAGGCAGUCAAAGAGCCCAUUGAAGCCAGUCUGCCUAAGGUUGGGAUUUUCUCUAGCAGCUCCUGUUCAUCAGACUACGUAAAUGAGGUCAAUGGAAGAAUGGCUGGUUGGAUAAAUGGGACAGGAACACAAUAGGGAAAAGGAAUUCAGAGUAUUAACAAGAAAGUAAGAAAUAGAAUGGAAGUUCUUAAAGAGUUUAGAAAACGAGUAUUUUAGGAAUCGAUAAGGAACACUUAACAGUAGCAGGUAUGGUUGGAGAAUUCAAUGCAUGGAUUUAUAGAUUGAAAAGUGGACUGAUUUAAAGUAUAAUCAGUGAAGUGGACAACUGAAGUCAAGUAAGGAAAAAGCCAUUGGUAGCGUGGAGGUCAAGAGUUUUGGAUGGAGCAUCCACAUGGAUAUUGUAGCUACCUAGAGGGAUGGCAGAGCUUGGAGAAGACAGGAUAACUGCAAGUCUAGAGCUAGGAUUUUCAGUAAAAGGAGAUUAAAGGCACCUGUCCUGAGGUGAGGAUAAUAUUACCAAAUAAUUCAAACCAUUGAUGCAUACUUAGUUCUUAGUCCUGGGCCUGAUAGAGAAUAAGAUAAUCAAUGAAUGGAUGAAUGACUGAAUGAACUAAUAAUAAAUCUAAGAAAUUCCAUGAGUCCACCUAGAAAAAUAUGGGGCUCAGUAAGAGAGUAUCUUUCAAUAGCAUGGAGAGAACAUCUUUCAGAAAUUUUCAGACAUCCUAGAAGUUAUCAGAGAUUUCUCAUAUUUGCUUUGGAAUUGGUAACUGUUCUGAACCCAAUUGCAAGACCUUGCUCAAAAGUCUGUCAUUUGGAGCCCUGAUCAGCUUAAGUCUUUGAAAAGAUGGAGAUUCUUAUGUCUAGAUGUCUCCCAGAGCCUCAUGCUGUCAUGGGUGGGGAUUUUUCAGAGGUGGCUGGAUCUAGAGUGUGUGAUGCUGGGAUUGAUACAUGGUGCAGUGCUAGACUCAAGGGCACUAGAAUUAAAAGUAUGAGUGCUACCCAUCCUAAGCAGCUUGGAUAAGACAAAAGGGGCAGAAAGACACUGUUAAGAUCCCUUGCUGCUUGACUACCAUCUGACCACCAUGAAUUGUUGCCCCUCUGCUGUGCAGCCCUGCCUUGGAGCCAGCCGAUUAUGGACUGAAACCUCCACAAACUGUGAGCCAAUUAAACCUUUCCUCCUUUAAUUUGUAGAUGUUGGACAUUUUGUCUCAGCAAUGAGAAAAGUAACUGAGACAGAGCCACUCACUAUACCAUCUUGGAAAACCCUGAUUCCCACCUCCGCAUGUCACUGGGUCUGGUCAGCGCUCCCAGGGUACCGUUAGAAAAGCCUUUGAAGACGGAGCUGUUUCAUUCUCCAAGAGGGUGGAGCUUCCUGCUCUGAGUACUUGGAACUUGACCUGUUCCAAAGCUCUGCCAUACAGGCCUUCAGUACUGCAGAUCUGAGACAUAAAGACUACAUAUCACAGAAGGGCAGCUGUCUGUUUAUUAUUCUAACAUCACUUUUGUAAGGAUUAUAAACAUGCAUAAUUGGAACAGAAUUAUCACAAGUAAAUGUUAUUGCUAUGGACUGAAAACACAACACAAACAAAAGCAAUUCCAUUUGUGGGCGGAAAUGAUAAUAUAAGGCUAUAUAAUUUUUGUGUGCUGCAGUAAUUGUAGAAUGCAAAGAUAACAAAUACAACAUUACAGGUGGGCAUGAGAAUUGGGCAGAACAAAAAGUGAGUCAUAACUGUGAAGCCUCGCUUCCCACUUUGCCUACACAGAGACUGAAAGCAAGUGUCAGAAGUCAGUGCAUCUCACAUUGCAAAGUGCCUGUGACUCCCCCGGGAUCUUGCUAAAAUGCAGAUUCGGGCUCAGGGGGUCUAAGGCCAGCCUAAGAUUACACACUUCACAUGCUCUCUGGUGACACCACUGGUGCUGGCCCCUGGGCUACAGGUGGAGAAGCAAAGGACAGAGCAAGGCUCAAGCCAAAUCCUCAUUGGGCCAGGCCAGGGAGGCAGCCCAGUGCCUGAUGGGAAAGGCUCAGUUGUGUCCAGUCCCUGGGGCCAAGGAAAUCAAGGCCACAAUAAAGAUGACAGCAGGAGCUCAGAGCUGAGAUGCCAGGGCCCCAUGGCUAGCACCUCCCUCCCCUUAGGGAGCUCUGGAGCACAGGGGCCUGAGUCUGGGGUGGAGCUGGAAGUAACAGCUCCACCCUUGAUGGGAGGCCUUGGCAGAGACUCCAGCCAAGGUGCCCCCACCCGGGCAGCAGCGGAGCCAGCCAAGGCCCCGUGCAACUGGCCGAUCCCCGGGGGCUCUUAGAUUUCUCCUGAGGGCCAGGCCCCUUCUGCUUGGCCCACAGCAGCUGCUAAGCUUCUGG